CUCAUGUGUCUCAGACUGAAGCACAGUGCAAAAGGGAGAGGCAAGACUACAGAAUGAAGUGAAAGGCCAAAUACUUAUGAAAACAGUGGAGACCAACGGAACAUUUUCAACUUGCAUGGGAGACAGGACUAAAAUUCAAACAGAUCAUGAGAAAUAUGAACGUGCCUCUGGUGUCUAACACCUCUGCGGGCCAGAACGUCUCCUCGUCGGCCGCCAGCGAGGCAGAGAUGGUCCUGCUGGGCAUGGUGAUGGCGGUGCUGGUGCUGGCCAUCGUGUUCGGGAACGUGCUGGUGAUCACCGCCAUCUCCCGCUUCCAGAGGCUGCAGACGGUCACCAACUGCUUCAUCACCUCGCUGGCCUGCGCCGACCUGGUCAUGGGCCUGGUGGUGGUGCCGUUCGGGGCGUGCCACAUCAUCCUUCGCACCUGGCACUUCGGCAACUUCUGGUGCCAGUUCUGGACCGCCACCGAUGUGCUGUGCGUGACGGCGAGCAUUGAGACUCUGUGCGUCAUCGCCCUGGACCGCUACCUGGCCAUCACCUCGCCCUUUCGGUACCAGUCCCUGCUGACAAAGUGCAAGGCCCGCAUCAUGGUGCUGCUGAUCUGGGUCGUGGCGAGCCUCAUCUCCUUCCUGCCCAUAUACAAGGAGUGGUGGGUCUCCGACGAGGAGGAGGCGAGGAACUGCACGAGGAACGCCAGCUGCUGCGAGUUCAACACCAACCUGGGCUACGCCGUCACUUCCUCCAUCGUCUCCUUCUACAUCCCCCUGGUGGUCAUGGUCUUCGUUUACAGCCGUGUCUUCCAGGAGGCCAAGAAGCAGCUGAAGAAGAUCGACCGGAGCGAGGGGCGCUUCCACGCCCAGAACAACAACGGGGCUCAGGACGGCCGCGGCGGCGACGGCAGGAACGGGAAGAAGACCAAGUUCUGCCUGAAGGAGCACAAGGCCCUGAAGACCCUGGGCAUCAUCAUGGGCAUCUUCACCCUCUGCUGGCUGCCCUUCUUCGUGCUCAACGUGGUCGUCAACAUCCUCAAAACGUCUGGCCACCGGGUGGAGAACCUGGACCUGCCCUUCAAAAUCCUAAACUGGAUAGGAUAUGCCAACUCGGCGUUCAACCCCCUCAUCUACUGCAGAAGCCCUGAGUUCAGGUAUGCUUUCCAGGAAAUCCUCUGCUUGAGGAGAUCUCCUUUCCCCAAGAUGGGAGCUAUCAAUGACUACAUGUACAGCGGACACAGCUGGCAGAGCGAACAGCAGGCAAAGAGCAAGUCUAACUCGGAGGACAGGGAUGUGAUGGAGGGGAUACUACGGGAGGGUGAGCUCUCUGUGCCGGAAAAGACUGACUCCAAUGGGAACUGCAGCAAAGCUCUGACAACCGUCAUUUAACUCACAGAGCCUCCCUGCUUGUCAUUACCUGUGUUCUUCUUGUUCUGAUUUGUCAAAGAGUUGACUGACCUCAGAGCCCAGUACAGUUUCUGGUAAUGAAGCCAUGUUUAUAUUCUACCUUCCAGUGUGAACUCCAUCAUAAGCAACAAAACUACAUCCUCAAGGUUUCUUUUCGGCUCAGCUGAGCUCUGUAAAGAAUAGCCAAUUUCACCUUUAUUUUCAACACAAAUAACCCAGCCCCCACCGAUGCCAGCAACGGACACUCUC